rnacentral:hammerhead_ribozyme from 1 species
AGUCGAAACCGGGCUUCGGCCCGGUCUGUUCGGGAUGGUUUCCGGGCACUGAUGAGACAAACCACA